UACGGAGGGUGCAAGCGUUAUCCGGAUUCACUGGGUUUAAAGGGUGCGUAGGUGGGAAUGUAAGUCAGUGGUGAAAUCUCCGUGCUUAACAUGGAAACUGCCAUUGAUACUAUCUGUCUUGAAUACCGUGGAGGUCAGCGGAAUAUGUCAUGUAGCGGUGAAAUGCUUAGAUAUGACAUAGAACACCAAUUGCGAAGGCAGCUGGCUACACGAAUAUUGACACUGAUGCACGAAAGCGUGGGGAUCAAACAGG
rnacentral:rRNA from 1 species